rnacentral:rRNA from 1 species
UACGAAGGGGGCUAGCGUUGCUCGGAAUCACUGGGCGUAAAGCGCACGUAGGCGGACUCUUAAGUCGGUGGUGAAAUCCUGGAGCUCAACUCCAGAACUGCCUCCGAUACUGGGAGCCUUCGAGUCCGGGAGAGGUGAGUGGAACUGCGAGUGUAGAGGUGAAAUUCGUAGAUAUUCGCAAGAACACCAGUGGCGAAGGCGGCUCACUGGCCCGGUACUGACGCUGAGGUGCGAAAGCGUGGGGAGCCGAACGAGG